UUUUCUUCAACCUUGUCGACUUCCACCAUCAAUUAACAUUUUAUCGAUCAUCUGGAAUGGUGCACUUUCCGAUAUGAGCAUGGUAAGUUCCCUUCUCUAAGUUGUAAUCCUAAUUCAAGAGUUGAUUUGAUGAGAUGCUGAAUAAAAUCCUAGCAGAUCUAACAAGCUUAGCAUGUGAAUUUCCAGGACUACAAUAGAGCCAAC
rnacentral:lncRNA from 1 species